CCAGGAAGUGAGGGAGGACACCAGGAGCAGCAGCAGCGAGGACGGUGAAGCAGGCCACCAGCGAGGGAGAGGAAGACGGAGCCGAGCACUCAGAUUGGACAAAUGAUACACAGUCACAAAUGCUGAGCAUACAACAGUGGGAGUCUCUGUUGAAAAUACAGCUGUGUACAGAGACCAAUCUGGAUGUACCCCAAGUAUGGACACUUGGUGUUAUAAAGGUGAACAGCAGUUAGAGGCUUAGUUUGUCCAUGCUACAAGGAAAAGGCAUCAUUGAAGUAUGGAGCUGGGGAUUUCUAAAUACAAACCGAUGCUGACAAAUGAAAAAUAUACCUCCAUAUAAAUAAAUGUAGAAUUCACUUGAA